AGACCACCUUGGCCUCCCCACUGAAGUCGCCACUAUCAUCGACCCAUUAGCAUUGAAGCGGCUCAUUGAAACCACCCUAUUAUAAAUGGCCAUGGAGAAGGCUUCGAGCGGCCAGGUGUACCGGUACCCGCCCGCAUCGGGUCUCCUGCUGGGUGCAGGCUUGGUGGCCUACUGUGCUACGCUGCUUCUACUGGUGAGCUUUGCCAGUCCUUACUGGCUAGAGAGCUACCAGGAGGCCAAGAUGGAGUUCAUACGGCUGGGCCUGUGGGACGUGUGCUUCCACAACUACCGCCACCCGUCCUACCAGUACGACGAGACCUUCAAUGGCUGCCACUGGAUUCACUCAUAUGCCUACCAAAACAUCCGUGACUGGCUCCUUCCCGGAUGGCUGAUGUUUGUGCAAAGCAUGAUGACACUGGCUCUCAUGUUUGCUCUGGGUGCCCUGGUCUUGCUGAGUGUGGUGCUGAUGCGUUACAUGCUGCGCUUUGAGAUCAUCUUCCUGCUGGGUGCAUUCAUUCUCGAGGCUAUUACAGCGGUGCCCGUGUUCCUGUCAGUGGCGGUGUUUGGAGGCAUGUGCUUCGACCGCUCCUGGCUACAGUACCCAAAUUACAACCAUCUGUCGUGGGCCUAUGCACUUGCCGUCGUUGCCUUCUUCUUCCACACGCUUGCUGCCGUGAUGCUUCUAGGAGAGACCUUCAAGGCCCGUGAGCGCCGGCGACGGGCCAACAACCUCAUCUACAACAUGCAACCCAGGCCGGGAACUUCCCUCUCUCUGCUUGAAGCCACACCUGUGGAAAAGCCAUCCACCCCAGCUGAUGAGUAGCCGUUCCCCAUAGAUGGGGAUAGCCUCUGGUUACAGCACUUGCUGUUCCGGCGUCGACUGCCUCCGACUACGUAGAAAAGUUGUGAAACGUUGAAGAGCCCUGUUCAGAAACCUCAACCAUUUAUCAAAAAUUGGGCCAAGCACUUGUUGAGACAACUGCACAGCAGACUACAGAUAAAUGAAACUCGCUUGAACUAAAAUGCCCAAUAAAUGGGACAAUAAUGCUAUAAUUUUGCCUGGCCGUACGUAGGCACAAUAUUAAACUCACGUUAAAUGGAAUGGAUCUCUCUGUGAAUUUUGGGUAAAGGAAAUAAAAUGUC
rnacentral:misc_RNA from 1 species